rnacentral:tRNA from 1 species
CGGGACGUAGCUCAGCCUGGUAGAGUGCCUGCUUUGGGAGCAGGAGGCCGCAAGUUCGAAUCUUGUCGUCCCGAC